rnacentral:sRNA from 1 species
GAAUUUCAUUUCCCUUCCUCAGUCAUCGGAGAGCUCUCUUUGGGCUUUCCAAAAAGGUAUCACAUGCCAAGUUUGGCCUCACGGUCUAAAAGUUAUAGAGUCAUACAUUUUUAACAAUACAAAAUAGAGAAAAACCGAAAAAAAAGAGGGAUGCAACACGAGGACUUUCCGGGAGGUAAU